rnacentral:pre_miRNA from 1 species
CAGCUGAGGUGCCUCAGACAGCAGAGCUCUGGGGAGUCUGCACCACGGCCUGGGUUCCUCUCCUCCUCCCCCUCCUCACUGUGUGCCAAGGU